CAGAUGGAAGGAGCAACUCGAGGGGCUGCAGAAGACGCCAAAGCGUGCAGGUCACCGGGGCCCUGGGGAGAGCAGGCUUUGAGUAGAAUGGAGUCAUCAUGAUGCUGAGCACCAGCUAGAUGCCAGGCCUCCAGGGACGCGAAGGUGCCGCGCUGGGUGGUUUCGGCAGGAACCCUGCGAUCGGACUGAAGGGUGCCGCCAGGAAGUGAGGACAGAGGACGAGCCCCGUGGGGCACGGAUGGCCGAGCCCAGGCGCCGGGCCCAGCGGGCCCACAGCAGCCUCUUGCAAGGACACAAAGCAGAGCGACCGAGGCAGCGAGGGAGAGGCUGAAUGGAGGAAACAAGGAAACCUCACGGACUCGCCAUUCCUCAUCAACUUCCAGACACUGGUUGGCUGCUGGCUUCCGAGGAGCACAGAGAGGGCGGCGGCCCCCCGAGGGGGCAGGCUGGAUGCACAGGUGCAGGGCCCGGGUGCCGACAUGCUUACUCCAUGAAGCAGCUCUGGUGGGACUGGUCAUGUCCGCAGGUGAGCGUGGUUGGAGAUGAAGAGGAGCUGACGGAGACUGUGAGGCUUCCCGCCCGGAGCCGGGAGCCCGGAGCCCACCAGAAAGGGGGGUCAGGGCAGGGUCCCUCUCCCCGAAAAUUUGGGACCCACGAAGGGAGUGGCCUCUGCUUCAUGCCGGGUGUCCAUGCCCUCAUGUCCGCCAUGGUGAGGGCAGGGGCAUGGGGCUGGUCUGCUGACUUCAUCUCCCAGAGCGGGGAGGGGCCCGAAGAGGAGAGUGUGACCCUGAUGGAAAGCCAGGCUGGACCUGGAGCGCCCUCUGGCAGCUGGAGAGUUACCUGCACCCCAGUCUCCCCUGCUACAUGGUGACCCUAACAGUCCCAACCCGCUUGCAUGCUGUGAGGUUUGAAUAAGGUCAAUUGUGCCAAAGGUU